rnacentral:rRNA from 1 species
AUGGCUCUCGCCCUCCGAGCGCCCCGCUUUCAGCCGCUUCCCGCCUCCAUUCCCGCGACCUCAACCGCUUUCGCCAGCACCGCGAGGCCUUCCUCCUCCGCUGCCACCGCCACCGCCAUCUGCGCCACCGCGUCUCCGUUCACCGAGGCCACGUCCUCCUCGAGAUACCGCCGCGACGCCUGGUCCUACACUGCCCAAGACUCCUCCUCUUCCUCGUCCGCCGCCGCCGCCGCGGCGGCGGCGGCCUCGGGCCGCCGGGACGACGAGAUCGCUCUGCAGCUCCCGGAGCUGCGGAGGCUUCUGGAGGCUCUCAGGGCGUCCAGAGGGAAAGGGCUGGAAGGGGAGGGCGGCGGCGGCGGUCCCGGGAGGGUGGCGCUGGUGGGGACGGGGCCAGGGGACCCGGAGCUCCUCACGCUCAAGGCCGUUCGGGCCAUCGAGGCAGCGGACCUGGUGCUGUACGAUCGCCUCGUGUCCAACGAGGUGCUCGAUUUGGUCGCGGAUGGCGCCAGGCUACUCUACGUCGGCAAGACGGCCGGAUACCACAGUCGCACUCAGGAAGAAAUUCAUGAGUUGCUCCUGAGCUUCGCGGAGGCUGGUGCCAAUGUGGUGCGGUUGAAAGGCGGCGAUCCUCUGGUUUUUGGAAGGGGUGGAGAAGAGAUGGAUUUUCUACAACAACAAGGAAUUAGAGUUGAAGUUAUUCCAGGAAUUACCUCUGCUUCAGGAAUUGCAGCUGAACUUGGUAUUCCACUAACCCAUCGGGGUGUCGCUACCAGUGUCAGAUUUUUAACCGGACACUCUAGAAAUGGUGGGACGGAUCCUCUACAUGUGGCAGAGAAUGCAGCCGACCCAGAAACAACUUUGGUUGUGUAUAUGGGUUUGUCAACACUACCAUCACUUGCUCCCAAGUUAAUGAAGCACGGUCUUCCACCAGAUACUCCUGCUGUUGCAGUAGAGCGUGGGACUACCCCCCAACAGCGAAUGGUAUUUGCAAUGUUGAAGGAUCUUGUGAAUGAGGUCCACUCGGCGGAUCUAGUUUCUCCAACUCUGAUAAUUAUCGGCAAGGUGGUGGCCUUGUCACCCCUUUGGGUUGAGUCAUCUGAACAUGAUGCUCUUAAUAAUGAGAACUCGUCGCAACCGAGUCCAACAGUUUCUCCUGUAUAA